rnacentral:rRNA from 1 species
UACGUAGGGUGCGAGCGUUGUCCGGAAUUACUGGGCGUAAAGAGCUCGUAGGUGGUUUGUCGCGUUGUUCGUGAAAACUCACAGCUUAACUGUGGGCGUGCGGGGCGAUACGGGCAGACUGGAGUACUGCAGGGGAGACUGGAAUUCCUGGUGUAGCGGUGGAAUGCGCAGAUAUCAGGAGGAACACCGGUGGCGAAGGCGGGUCUCUGGGCAGUAACUGACGCUGAGGAGCGAAAGCGUGGGGAGCGAACAGGA